GAACUCGUAGCUCAGCUGGUUAGAGCACUUCUUUGACGUAGAAGGGGUCACUGGUUCGAAUCCAGUCGAGUUCA
rnacentral:tRNA from 3 species